GGAGAGACCAACUAUAGGAGACAAAGGAGGAAAAGAAGAAACUGUGAAGGGAAAUUUCAGAGGAGAUUGACCAUUAGGACCUCCUGGAGGAGGAGCUGGGACCUCACAUUCCUGCCAGCAGGUGCUCUGUGCCAACCUGUCCUGGUGUCCUGGACGGCCUGUGGCUCCUUUAAGAAACCAGGACCCCUGGCUGGAUGCAAGCUUGACUCCAAGCUGUUUCUGGCCUUCCUAAGCCCUGUGCUUUGGCCACCACAUGAGGAGAGCUGAGUCCCGCCUUCCAAGAGAAAGCCUGAGAGGGGGAG